AACAGAACAAAGAGCUCCACCCCUCGUGCUUUUCAAGUUACAGGCAAUUCUAUGUGUCAAAUGUCCCCUCCCCUUUCGGAAUUCGAAAGACUCUAACAAAAAUCAAAUCGCGAAAUCGUGAUUUGUUCAAAGCACCGGAACUAAUGCUGCUUGUUAUCUCACGCAUCCCGUUGUAUCAUGACAGAUCAACACUACUACUACCACCAGGCUGCAUCUGCAGAAGCGUGGCACAGGUGGCGUGGACACCGCCUCCGUGGGUGGAGUAUUCGACAUCUCCAACGCUGACCGUCUGGGAUCCUCUGAGGUAGAUCAGGUCCAGAUGGUGGUGGAUGGUGUCAAGCUCAUGGUGGAGAUGGAGAA